rnacentral:rRNA from 1 species
AACGAACGCUGGCGGCGUGGAUAAGACAUGCAAGUGGAACGCCAACCAGUGAGUAGCAAUAUUCGCUGGAAGGAGUCGCGUAAGGGUGCGUAACACGUGGGCAAUCUGCCCUGAAGCUCGGGACAACCUGCCGAAAGGCAAGCUAAUACCGAAUGUGAUCUUUUGCAGGCAUCUGUGAAAGCUCAAAGCUGGGGAUCGCAAGACCUGGCGCUUUAGGAUGAGCCCGCGGCCUAUCAGCUAGUUGGUGAGGUAACGGCCCACCAAGGCUAAGACGGGUAGCCGGUCUGAGAGGACGAUCGGCCACACUGGAACUGAGACACGGUCCAGACACCUACGGGUGGCAG